rnacentral:lncRNA from 1 species
GAGAACUCCAAGGGCAGGAGGUAACCAUUAAAGAGGACCAUCAUGUAGUGUGAGGAGUCAACAUUUCACACUAGAAAGCCCUUGGUUCAAGUUUUGUCUCUGCCACCUACAGAUUUUGUAACCCUGAUGAGAUCAUUUGUACAAAUCUUGAAACCAAAGCACAGCCUGUAUGAACCCAUGUUGAACCCUGGACUUUCAGGACUACUGUAUGGCUAACCACAGCCCUGCAAGGCCAGGCUCAGCAUGUCACAGUUUUGCCACUGAACAAGAAUCUUUCGAAGGAUCGCAAAUACUACAUGGAAAAUGACUGUAUUCUUUCUGCAAGGCCACUCUCUUAGACAUCACCCUAACAAAAACAAUUACGGGUUGGAAGAGGAGAAAGGAUGCAAAGUUUGUGCCUUGACCUAAAAAAGGUCAUGAGCACCUCUACCGGUUCUUGGAAACAUUAGUUGCAGUGGAUCUCAAAUUCUAUUGCGCAAAAGAACGACCUGGUGACCCUCUAAAAGUGUAGAUUCUCUGGUUUCACCCCUAGACCUUGUGACUCACAUGUCCAGUGAGGCCAGGAACUCCUCACUGUUAACCUGUGCCCUAUUUUAACAAGCCCUGCUGGGAGUCGGGAUGUUGGGGGUCCCCACACCACACUGAAAUAGAGGAAUUCCCUGCUCAAAGAUCCCGUUAUGUCCUGAUUACAAUCUGCAAUGAGAUUAUGAAAUCAUUAAAUCAUGAUUAAGC